rnacentral:rRNA from 1 species
GUAGGGAAUAUUGGGCAAUGGAUGCAAGUCUGACCCAGCCAUCCCGCGUGCCGGAAGAAGGCCCUCAGGGUUGUAAACGGCUUUUGACGGUGAAGAAUCGACAGGAUGCGUCCUGUUUUUACGGUAGCCGUUGAAUAAGCACCGGCUAACUCCGUGCCAGCAGCCGCGGUAAUACGGAGGGUGCGAGCGUUGUCCGGAUUUAUUGGGUUUAAAGGGUGCGUAGGCUGGAAGGUCAGUCAGCGGUGAAAAGCUGUCGCUUAACGAUAGUCUUGCCGCAGAUACUUCCUUUCUUGGAUGAGGAGGAGGCCACUGGAACGGAUGGUGUAGCGGUGAAAUGCAUAGAUAUCAUCCAGAACACCGAUUGCGAAGGCAGGUGGCUGUACCUUAAUCGACGCUGAUGCACGAAAGCAUGGGGAGCAAACAGGAUUAGAAACCCGGGUAGUCC